rnacentral:lncRNA from 1 species
UCCUCUCCUCGUGAGCGCACAAGCCAGUGGAAAGAUUCGUCGUCACACAGUCUACGGUCGUCACUGACGUCGUAGCGCAGCCAAGGGACAACAAUCACCGAGAGCACGCGCUGAAUCAACACGAAGAUGUCACUUGAUGUCCAAUGUAAAAUUUGGUCCCUGAAGCAAAACCAGUUUUUCCUAUUAUGGUGUCAGCUGUCUGGACUCUCAUUCUGAUGGCACCCAUUCAUUGCUGAGGAUCCAUUGGUGAGCAAAUGAUGCAAUGCUACAUUCUCCAAAUCUGUUCUGAUGACGAAACUCACCUACAUGGUCUGAGGUGUGAACCCUCUGUCCAUGGAGAAGAAUGGAGCUGUCGUUUUCAAGAUGUGAUUUCACAAGCCAAGGCAGUAAAGGAAAAGAGUUUAAAAGAUCAAGUGCCAUUCUUGAUGUUUUCUGGUUUCUGAAAUAACAAUACAGUCACAUUUAUAUCACAAGAUAUUUCAGAUAUUAAAGGCUUAUAUCACAGAUAAGCCUGGCAGGGACGUGGGUGGCAGGCCUUCAAAUUGCCAAUAUUCUUUGAGAGAGAUAUUUUUAUGCCUCCUUCCGCAUUCAACAUUAAUAUGCAAUAUUCUACAUGAAAUGGAAAUAAAAAAUGAAUUUACAUGCGUCUUUGAUAGAUUUAAUUGUCUGAGAAAUGGAACUCUUGCUGCUAUCAGAAUAAUUUAUUAAUAAAUUCC